rnacentral:rRNA from 1 species
GACGUAGGGCGCGAGCGUUGUCCGGAAUUAUUGGGCGUAAAGAGCUCGUAGGCGGUUUGUCGCGUCUGCCGUGAAAGUCCGGGGCUCAACUCCGGAUCUGCGGUGGGUACGGGCAGACUAGAGUGAUGUAGGGGAGACUGGAAUUCCUGGUGUAGCGGUGAAAUGCGCAGAUAUCAGGAGGAACACCGAUGGCGAAGGCAGGUCUCUGGGCAUUAACUGACGCUGAGGAGCGAAAGCACGGGGAGCGAACAGG